rnacentral:rRNA from 1 species
GACGAACGCUGGCGGCGUGCUUAACACAUGCAAGUCGAACGGAAAGGCCCUGCUUUUGUGGGGGGCUCGAGUGGCGAACGGGUGAGUAACACGUGAGUAACCUGCCCUUGACUUUGGGAUAACUUCAGGAAACUGGGGCUAAUACCGGAUAGGAGCUCCUGCUGCAUGGUGGGGGUUGGAAAGUUUCGGCGGUUGGGGAUGGACUCGCGGCUUAUCAGCUUGUUGGUGGGGUAGUGGCUUACCAAGGCUUUGACGGGUAGCCGGCCUGAGAGGGUGACCGGCCACAUUGGGACUGAGAUACGGCCCAGACUCCUACGGGAGGCAGCAGUGGGGAAUAGUGCACAAUGGGCGGAACGCUGAUGCAGCAACGCCGCGUGCGGGAUGACGGCCUUCGGGUUGUAACCCGCUUUCGCCUGUGACGAAGCGUGAGUGACGGUAAUGGGUAAAGAAGCACCGGCUAACUACGUG